GAUGAACGCUAGCGGCAGGCUUAACACAUGCAAGUCGAGGGGCAGCAUAAUGAAGUAGCAAUACUGAAUUGAUGGCGACCGGCGCACGGGUGCGUAACGCGUAUGUAACCUACCUCUAACAGGGGGAUAACACUGAGAAAUUGGUACUAAUACCCCAUAACACUUGAUAGGGCAUCCUAUUGAGUUGAAAGUUCCGGCGGUUAGAGAUGGGCAUGCGUUGUAUUAGCUAGUAGGUGAGGUAACGGCUCACCUAGGCGACGAUACAUAGGGGGACUGAGAGGUUAACCCCCCACACUGGUACUGAGACACGGACCAGACUCCUACGGGAGGCAGCAGUGAGGAAUAUUGGUCAAUGGACGCAAGUCUGAACCAGCCAUGCCGCGUGCAGGAAGACGGCUCUAUGAGUUGUAAACUGCUUUUGUACAAGGGUAAACCCUGGGACGUGUCCCAGGCUGAAAGUACUGUACGAAUAAGGAUCGGCUAACUCCGUG
rnacentral:rRNA from 1 species